rnacentral:rRNA from 1 species
AGUCGAACGGUGAAGCUCCAGCUUGCUGGAGUGGAUCAGUGGCGAACGGGUGAGUAACACGUGAGCAACCUGCCCCGGACUCUGGGAUAACAGUUGGAAACAGCUGCUAAUACCGGAUACGCACCAUACAGGCAUCUGUUGUGGUGGGAAAGAUUUUUUGGUUCGGGAUGGGCUCGCGGCCUAUCAGCUUGUUGGUGAGGUAAUGGCUCACCAAGGCGUCGACGGGUAGCCGGCCUGAGAGGGUGACCGGCCACACUGGGACUGAGACACGGCCCAGACUCCUACGGGAGGCAGCAGUGGGGAAUAUUGCACAAUGGGCGGAAGCCUGAUGCAGCAACGCCGCGUGAGGGAUGACGGCCUUCGGGUUGUAAACCUCUUUUAGCAGGGAAGAAGCGAGAGUGACGGUACCUGCAGAAAAAGCGCCGGCUAACUACGUGCCAGCAGCCGCGGUAAUACGUAGGGCGCAAGCGUUAUCCGGAAUUAUUGGGCGUAAAGAGCUCGUAGGCGGUCUGUCGCGUCUGCUGUGAAAACCCGAGGCUCAACCUCGGGCCUGCAGUGGGUACGGGCAGACUAGAGUGCGGUAGGGGAGAUUGGAAUUCCUGGUGUAGCGGUGGAAUGCGCAGAUAUCAGGAGGAACACCGAUGGCGAAGGCAGAUCUCUGGGCCGUAACUGACGCUGAGGAGCGAAAGGGUGGGGAGCAAACAGGCUUAGAUACCCUGGUAGUCCACCCCGUAAACGUUGGGAACUAGUUGUGGGGACCUUUCCACGGUCUCCGUGACGCAGCUAACGCAUUAAGUUCCCCGCCUGGGGAGUACGGCCGCAAGGCUAAACCAGAUU